ACGGGGGAAAGCAGGGGAUCUUCGGACCUUGCGCUAUUAGAUGAGCCUAAGUCGGAUUAGCUUGUUGGUGGGGUAAUGGCCUACCAAGGCGACGAUCCGUAGCUGGUCUGAGAGGAUGAUCAGCCACAUCGGGACUGAGACACGGCCCGAACUCCUACGGGAGGCAGCAGUGGGGAAUAUUGGACAAUGGGCGCAAGCCUGAUCCAGCCAUGCCGCGUGUGUGAAGAAGGCUUUCGGGUUGUAAAGCACUUUCAGCGAGGAGGAAGGCCUUAAGACUAAUACUCUUGAGGAUUGACGUCACUCGCAGAAGAAGCACCGGCUAACUCCGUGCCAGCAGCCGCGGUAAUACGGAGGGUGCAAGCGUUAAUCGGAAUUACUGGGCGUAAAGCGCGCGUAGGUGGUUAUGUAAGCGAGAUGUGAAAGCCCCGGGCUCAACCUGGGAACGGCACUUCGAACUGCAUGGCUAGAGUGUGGUAGAGGGUAGUGGAAUUUCCUGUGUAGCGGUGAAAUGCGUAGAUAUAGGAAGGAACACCAGUGGCGAAGGCGGCUACCUGGACCAACACU
rnacentral:rRNA from 1 species